AUGCAAGUCGAGGGGUAACGGGGAAGCUUGCUUCCGCCGACGACCGGCGCACGGGUGCGUAACGCGUAUACAAUCUACCUUGUACUGGGGUAUAGCCUUUAGAAAUGAAGAUUAACCCCCAUAGUCUCUUAGAGUGGCAUCACUUCUAGAGUAAAGGUUACGGUAUAAGAUGAGUAUGCGUUCUAUUAGUUUGUUGGUGUGGUAACGGCACACCAAGACUACGAUAGAUAGGGGCCCUGAGAGGGGGAUCCCCCACACUGGUACUGAGACACGGACCAGACUCCUACGGGAGGCAGCAGUGAGGAAUAUUGGACAAUGGAGGCAACUCUGAUCCAGCCAUGCCGCGUGCAGGAAGACUGCCCUAUGGGUUGUAAACUGCUUUUAUACAGGAAGAAACACCUCUACGUGUAGAGGCUUGACGGUACUGUAAGAAUAAGGAUCGGCUAACUCCGUGCCAGCAGCCGCGGUAAUACGGAGGAUCCAAGCGUUAUCCGGAAUCAUUGGGUUUAAAGGGUCCGUAGGUGGAUAAUUAAGUCAGAGGUGAAAUCUUGCAGCUCAAACUGUAAAAUUGCCUUUGAAACUGGUUAUCUUUGAGUUUAUUAUGGAAGUAGUUAGAAUAU
rnacentral:rRNA from 1 species